rnacentral:rRNA from 1 species
UACGUAGGGUGCGAGCGUUAAUCGGAAUUACUGGGCGUAAAGCGUGCGCAGGCGGCGCGUUUAAGACAGGUGUGAAAGCCCCGAGCUUAACUUGGGAAUUGCGCUUGUGACUGGCGUGCUGGAGUGUGGCAGAGGGAGGUGGAAUUCCACGUGUAGCAGUGAAAUGCGUAGAGAUGUGGAGGAACACCGAUGGCGAAGGCAGCCUCCUGGGCCAGCACUGACGCUCAUGCACGAAAGCGUAGGGAGCAAACAGG